rnacentral:lncRNA from 1 species
AAAAUUUCGAAAAAGGAAACAAUUUUCCCCGGAAAAUAAUUAUGCAGUCGCAUAGAUGUCGGUUUAAUUCUCCUGCUUGUAUUGAAUUGAUCAAUUUGGAUUCUGCUCUUGACCCGAACAUGAAAGUUGCCUCAUUUUGCGUUCCGAGCAUCAUCCCAUCAAUGUUGAUUGAACUAGCAACCCCAUCGCUUGUUUCACUUGUUUUGCUCUCGAUCGCGUCAUCGGCCUGCCUUCGAUUUUCAACGGGUCUCGCUCCACACUUGUCUUUUUCGAACUUGACUCUUGGAUCACAUCAUCCCCUUCCUCUUUAAAAGGAUUCAUCCUCGAAUCUGCACCUGCAUCAAAGAAAGAGAGAUCAGACACAUUAAAAGUUGCUGAAACAUUAUACUCACCAAGAAGGUCUAAUUUAUAUGCAUUGUAAUUGAUCUUCUCAAUGACUUGAAAUGGACCAUUUUCCCGCGGUUGCAAUAUUGACUUCCUUUGCUCUAGAAAGCGUUCCUUUCUGAAAUGCACCUCAACCCAAUCUCCAAGUUCGAAUGUUACCCUUUUUCUGCCUUUGUUUGCCUGCGAUGCAACAAGCUUGCUCUUGUUUUCGAUCUGCAACUUAACCUUUUCAUGGAGUGAUUUUAC